rnacentral:rRNA from 2 species
AUGGACGAAAGUCUGAUGGAGCAACGCCGCGUGAGUGAAGAAGGGUUUCGGCUCGUAAAACUCUGUUGUUAAAGAAGAACAUAUCUGAGAGUAACUGUUCAGGUAUUGACGGUAUUUAACCAGAAAGCCACGGCUAACUACGUGCCAGCAGCCGCGGUAAUACGUAGGUGGCAAGCGUUGUCCGGAUUUAUUGGGCGUAAAGCGAGCGCAGGCGGUUUUUUAAGUCUGAUGUGAAAGCCUUCGGCUUAACCGAAGAAGUGCAUCGGAAACUGGGAAACUUGAGUGCAGAAGAGGACAGUGGAACUCCAUGUGUAGCGGUGAAAUGCGUAGAUAUAUGGAAGAACACCAGUGGCGAAGGCGGCUGUCUGGUCUGUAACUGACGCUGAGGCUCGAAAGUAUGGGUAGCAAACAGGAUUAGAUACCCCGGUAGUCCAUACCGUAAACGAUGAAUGCUAAGUGUUGGAGGGUUUCCGCCCUUCAGUGCUGCAGCUAACGCAUUAAGCAUUCCGCCUGGGGAGUACGGCCGCAAGGCUGAAAUUCAAAGGAAUUGUCGGGGGCCCGCACAAGCGGUGGAGCAUGUGGUUUAAUUCGAAGCUACGCGAAGAACCUUACCAGGUCUUGACAUACUAUGCAAAUCUAAGAGAUUAGACGU